GGCUUAUUGAUAAUAAUUUUAGGUCCGGCCUGCUCACUGAAAAUUUAAAGAGCCGCGGUAAUUUGACCGUGCUAAGGUAGCAUAAUCAAUAGUUUUUUAAUUAAAAGCUGGAAUGAAAGGUUAGAUAGGAAAAUAACUGUCUCUAAUUUAUUUUUAAUGAAUUUUAUUUUUAAGUAAGAAAGCUUAAAUUUUUUUAAAAGACGAGAAGACCCUAUAAAAUUUAAUAAUUUUUUAUAUAAAUAAAUUUUAUAAUUAUAAUUUUUUAUAAAAAAAAUUAUUUAGUUGGGGUGAUUGAAAAAUUUAAAUAACUUUUUUUUAGGUAAUCCAUUAAUUUAUGAAUUUUUGAUCCAAUAAUAUUGAUUAUAAGAUAAAAUUACUUUAGGGAUAACAGCGUAAUUUUUUUUGAAAGUUCUUAUUGAAAAAAAAGAUUGCGACCUCGAUGUUGGAUUAAAAUUUUAGUUUGGUGUAGAGGCUAAACUUUUAGGUCUGUUCGACCUUUAAAAUUUUACAUGA
rnacentral:rRNA from 1 species